rnacentral:rRNA from 1 species
UACGUAGGGUGCAAGCGUUGUCCGGAAUUAUUGGGCGUAAAGAGCUCGUAGGCGGCUUGUCGCGUCGACUGUGAAAACCCGCGGCUCAACCGCGGGCCUGCAGUCGAUACGGGCAGGCUAGAGUUCGGUAGGGGAGACUGGAAUUCCUGGUGUAGCGGUGAAAUGCGCAGAUAUCAGGAGGAACACCGAUGGCGAAGGCAGGUCUCUGGGCCGAUACUGACGCUGAGGAGCGAAAAGCGUGGGGAGCGAACAGG